AGCUGUUUGGGUGAUGGUGUAAACAGCGUCGUGUGCGUUCCCGACUAAAAUCAUUUGCCUAUACGGCCUAUGCCACGGGCCGGCCCUGGGCCAGUGUCCAGUCCGCAUGGAUGAGCGAGGAUACGUCCAAGGAGACCGAGGUGUCCGAUACCUGCUCAUUCAGCCAAGACACAAGGUUUUGUCUGGACUCCUGAUGAGGUUUUGAGACAUCUCUUACAACUACAGCACAAUUUUGGGGACUCCUGGUGAUGUUUUGAGGCAUCUACAACUACAGGACCAGAAUUGUGCUGCUGAAGCAAGACCGUCUUUUUUUAAAUUUUGGGGUAAGGGUCUCAUUUAAGCGAAAAAAAAGUGUUGGAAAAUACUAAUUUACUGCUAUUUUCGUGUUUUGUCGGGACUCCUGAUGAGGUUUUGAGACAUCUCCUACAACUACAGCACCAGAAUUGUGCUGCUGAAUCAAGUCCGUUUUUUUGAAUUUUUUGUAAGGGUCCCCCCUUACGACAUUUAAGCGGAAAAAAAGUGUCGGAAAAUACUAAUUUUCGUGUUUAGUCGGGACUCCUGAUGAGGUUUUGAGACAUCUCCUACAACUACAGCACCAGAAUUGUGCUGCUGAAGCAAGACAGUUUUAAAAACAAUUUUGGGUCGGGACUCCUGAUGAGGUUUUGAGACAUCUACAACUACAGCACCAGAAUUGUGCUGCUGGAGCAAGACAGUUUUAAAAACAAUUUUGGGGACUCCUGGUGAGGUUUUGAGGCAUCUACAACUACAGGACCAGAAUUGUGCUGCUGAAGCAAGACCGUCUUUUUUUAAAUUUUGGGGUUUUGUCGGGACUCCUGAUUAGGUUUUGAGACAUCUCCUACAACUCCAGGACUCGUAUUGUGCUGCUGAAGCAAGACCGUUUUUAAUUUUUUUGAGGUUUUAUCGGGACUCCUGAUUAGGUUUUGAGACAUCUCCUACAACUCCAGGACUCGUAUUGUGCUGCUGAAGCAAGACCGUUUUUAAUUUUUUUGAGUCGGGACUCCUGAUGAGGUUUUGAGACAUCUCCUACAACUACAGCACCAGAAUUGUGCUGCUGAAGCAAGUCCGUUUUUUGGAAUUUUUACGACAGGGUCCCCCCUUACGACAUUUUAGCAAAAAAAGUUUUACGUAAAAUAUGCAUUUUCUUAUAUUUACUUACAUUUACGGGUUUAGUCGGGACUCCUGGUGACGUUUUGAGACAUCUCCUACAACUACAGCACCAGAAUUGUGCUGCUGAAGCAAGACAAUUUUGGGGGGUCAUUUUGACAUUUAAGCGAAAACAAGUUUUGAAAAAUAGAACAAUUUUCCGCUAAUUUCGGGGUUUUUCUUGACUCCCGAAGAGGUUUUGGGACGUCUCCUACAACUACAGCACCAGAAUUGUGGCGUUAAGGUGCCCCCUUACGACAUUUUAGCGAAAAAAAGUAAAACAAAAAAAAAAUAAUUCUGCCAUUUUCGGAUUUUGUCGGAACUCCCGAUGAGGUUUUAGUACGUCUUCCACAACUACAGCACCAGUAUUGUGCUGCUGAAGCAAGACAAUUUUGAAUUUUUUGGAGGUAAGGGUACCCCCUUCAACAUUUAUGACAUUUUAGAAUUGUUGUUUUUUUUUCGAAAAAUAGACAUUUUCUGCCAUUUUCGGGUGUAGUCAGGACUCCUGAUGAGGUUUUGAGACAUCUCCUACAACUACAGCACCAGAAUUGUGCUGCUGAAGCAAGUCCGUUUUUUGGAAUUUUUUGUAAGGGUCCCCCCUUACGACAUUUUGGCAAAAAAAGUUUUACGUAAAAUAUGCAUUUUCUUACAUUUUCUUACAUUUACGGGUUUAGUCGGGACUCCUGAUGACGUUUUGAGACAUCUCCUACAACUACAGCACCAGAAUUGUGCUGCUGAAGCAAGACAAUUUUGGGGGGUCAUUUUGACAUUUAAGCGAAAACAAGUUUUGAAAAAUAGAACAAUUUUCCGCUAAUUUCUGGGUUUUUCUUGACUCCCGAAGAGGUUUUGGGACGUCUCCUACAACUACAGCACCAGAAUUGUGGCGUUAAGGUGCCCCCUUACGACAUUUUAGCGAAAAAAAGCAAAACAAAAAAAAAAUAAUUCUGCCAUUUUCGGAUUUUGUCGGAACUCCCGAUGAGGUUUUAGUACGUCUUCCACAACUACAGCACCAGUAUUGUGCUGCUGAAGCAAGACAAUUUUGAAUUUUUUGGAGGUAAGGGUACCCCCUUCAACAUUUAUGACAUUUUAGAAUUGUUGUUUUUUUCGAAAAAUAAACAUUUUCUGCCAUU